CCAGAUGCCUCGUCAUCUAAUUAGUGGCAUGCAUGAAUGGAUCAUUAACGAGAUUCCCCACUUUCCCUAGCUACUAUAUUCUAGAGAAACCAUAUCUAAGGGAAUGGGCUUAGCAGAAUUAAUGGGGAAAGAAGACCCUAUUGAGCUUGACUCUAGUCCUAACCCAUUCAUAGUUUGGGAAAAUUAGGGCAUAGU
rfam:Picea glauca, whole genome shotgun sequence.